GGGCCUCGCCUGGGCCGCGGCCUGAGCAGAAGCGCUAGGAGGUAGAACAGCGUCCAGCGGGGAGAGGAGCUAGAGUCGGCAUCGGGAAGCCCACCCUGGAGCCUGCUUAGCUUGACGAGCCCUCAACCGGGGCGCCCUGCUCUGCGAAGAGUAACCCUGCAUCCUCAGAACAACCGUGAUUGUCUUCAUUCCUACAUAUGAGGAACGGAGGCGCGGAGCCCCACGGCAGCCGGGGAUCCAAAGACAGCCUCCCUCCAGUUCCAUCUGCCGGCUCUUGGAAGGCCUGGAUCCCUGUCCUUCAGGGCCCAGCCCAAAUGCCGCCUCGUCCAUCUGCAUUUUACGGCCAGGUGCCCCGCUGCGGGCACGGCUUCUUGUAAAAUGCUCAGCUCAGCAGUGGGCGAGGCAGGGUCCCUGCCCCAUGGGAUGGAGGGCGGAGAUCAGGACCCACAAGAGCCCAAAGAAGACCAUUUUGGUCGGUGAAGACCAAAGAAAUUCAAGCAGGAGGAUGUGACAGGAGCUUUUGGGAAAGCCUCUGAGGAGGUGACAGCCAUGCAACCGUGUUCGGGGAAGUGUGCCGCAGGCAGAGGGGAAAUGAGUGCAAAAGCCCUGAAGCUGGAGUUCGGUGUCUGGAUAACAGGAAAGGCCUGCAUAGCUGAUGUGUGCCAGAGGGGAGAAAGAUCUGUGACACAGGGGGGCCGCCAUGUUUAAUUUGGAGUUUUGUGUGGAAGGGGGUCAUUCAUUGAGUCUGAAUUGGGAGUUCCGAGGUCUCAUUUAUAUUUUAGAAAGUUCUCUCCUGCUACUAUGCAGAGAUUGGGCUGUAGGAGAGACAAGAGGGGAAGUGGGGACUCUAGCUACAGUAGCUCUUCCAGGGGUCUGGGUGACGUAGAUUUACAAACCAGAGUAUUAGCUCAGGCUGCCAUGACAAAAUACCCCAGACCAGGCAGCUUAGACAACAGGAAUUUAUUUUCUCACAGUUUUAGAGGCUGCAAAUCUAAGGUCUGGGUGCCGGCAGGGCUGGUUUCUGGUGAGGCCUCUCUCCCUGGCUUGCAAACAGCUGCCUUCUCACUGUGUCCUCCUAUGACCUUUUCUCUGUGAGCAGGAAUCCCUGGUGUGUCUUCCUUUUUCUUACAAGAACAACAAUUUUACUAGAUUAGGGCCCCACCCUAUGACUUCAUUUAACCCCAGUGACUACCUAAAAGGCCGUAUUCAAAUAGUCGUAUUAGGCCAGGCGCAGUGGCUCACGCCUGUAAUUCUAGCACUUUGGGAAGCCGAGGCAGAUGGAUUGCCUGAGCUCAGGAGUUGGAGACCAGCCUGGGCAACACAAUGAGACCCCGUCUUUACUAAAAUACAAAAAAUUAGC
rnacentral:lncRNA from 1 species